CUGAUGAGCGCCGUUACUCCACAGUAUAGAAGCGAUAUGAGCUAUUAAUACAGAUCUGAUCCACAAUAGUUUUUCUGCAAGAAAGGCACUGAGAGGAUGUGGCAAUUCGAUGUUCCUGCAACCCUGCAGAUACUCUGCUUUGCGUUGUUCUUGUGUCUACUGCGAUGGUUCAGAAUCAAAGGUCAUGGUGGAGAUGACUCUGCAGCUGAACGUGUAGGUGAGAGAUACUCGGGUUGUGAUUCAGGAGGCAGUGCUGAGCACAGUUCUGUCAUUUGAAAAUGGAAGGACGGUGGCACAAAUGCAAACCUACCGACACUCGGCUGUCUACCUGAACCGAUAGGCUGAGCAAAGCAAGGGGAGCAUUAAUCCGAAAAGCAGCCAAGAGGUAAUUGUGGAGGACCUGCAGAAGUCCACGGCUCCACAGGGAGAAAUCUGUUGACACUGACAGCACAACUAUGUGCGCUCCACAAAUUUGAUCUUUAUGGCAGAGUGACAAGAAGAAAAUCAUUACUGAAAGAAACCAUCAGCAGAACUUUUUGUAGUUUGCAAACAAACACACGGAAGAAAGUUCUUUUAUCAGAUGAGACCACGCUUCUUGUCUUUCUUGCAAAAUGUCAGCUGUGAAGGAAACUAAGACCCUGAAAACAUCUGCAGUAAAAUGUGGCGGUGUCACCAUGCCACCUGCUUUCUUUCUGGCGGAGCAAAGAAGUUUAUAAGAGUUGAUGGGAAGAUGAAUGGAGCAAAACGCAAGAUUGUCCUGGAAGAAAAUAAAUUUAUAUGCAGCAAAAGACUUGAAACAAGGCAGAGGUUCACUUUCCAUCAGGACAACAACACUAAACAUUCAGCUAAAUGACUUAGAUAAAUGGAGUUUCAUGUGUUAGACAGACCCAGUCAGAAUAAGUAGAUGGUGUCCAUCAAAUAUGACUUAGCUUGAUGUAUUUUGGUUAAAAGAAAAAAUCAGCCUUCAAAUGUGCAAAGACUGCAGAGACAUAAACCUCUUAAAAGAUGUUGUAGCAGUAAUUACACCAAGAGGUAGUUCUACAAUGGGUAGUGUAUCAAUGCCAAGUAUAUUUUAUGCUUUAUUUUUUAAAAAAAGUAAUUAUUAUCAUUUUUUUUAUGUAAUGUGACAAAUAAAAAAAGGCUUAUUGGGUAUAAAUCCUUUUGCAAAGCACAAAUAGUGGUUUAAAAUGAUCUUUAGGAUUGUUGAUGUAGACAAUAUGUAAUUAAAUCUUAAAAACAUAAACUGGACAACCAUCAAGGCAUCUGCAACUGUAGAUUUUAAGACAAGUUUAUAAAAUCAAGAAACUGAGCUUUACUGGUCUGGAGCUCAUUACAGCGUCUUGCUCUAUCAGUAGCACUUACACAUCAUCUUUUAUCUGGGAUCUCUGAAUUUUAAUUAUCCAUUUGCAAUCAAGCUCUUUAACAAAUGUGCGUUUUAAAAUGCAUCUUCUGAUUAGUGAAAUUUCUGGAAAAAGGUAUGAAAUUUCAUCCAUAUUCAAGCCUCAUCUGGAAGAAAAAGCUGUAGAUUUAUGAAGUCUGAAGACUAAAAUCUGUUUUAUGUUUUAGGAAAACAUGGAACAAAUCAGCCAACUUCCUUUAGACCUACACAUUAAACAACUGUGCAUUUCUCUUGGUGUCUAUUUUUUUAUGAAAUAAUGUUGAUAAAUAAUCUUAAAAAUCCUGGAAAUACUCACUAUUUUAGCUUUUAGUAGAAAAAGUUCCUGUCAGCAUUAACGGGAAUUAAAGGAAAACUAAAUUGGUGUAAAAUGGCCAUAAGUUAUUUUGCAAAGUAUGGAUGAUAUAAAAUAAAUGAUAACGGCAAAAAAAAAAUUUUACAU